AUUGAACGCUGGCGGCAGGCCUAACACAUGCAAGUCGAGCGAGCGGCGGACGGGUGAGUAAUGUAUGGGGAUUUGCCCGAUAGAGGGGGAUAACUCCUGGAAACGGUGGUUAAUACGGCAUACUAUCGGCUGAACCCAUAUGGGAUUAGCUAGUAGGUAGGGUAAAGGCUUACCAAGGCGACGAUCUCUAGCUGGUCUGAGAGGAUGAUCAGCCACACGGGAACUGAGACACGGCCCAGACUCCUACGGGAGGCAGCAGUGGGGAAUCUUGCGCAAUGGGCGAAAGCCUGAUGCAGCCAUGCCGCGUGGAUGAAGAAGGCCUUAGGGUCGUAAAGUACUGUCAUCGGGGAUGCGGUACCCGAAGAGAAAGCACCGGCUAACUCCGUGCCAGCCGCCGCGGUAAUAC
rnacentral:rRNA from 1 species